rnacentral:rRNA from 1 species
GGACCCGCACAAGCGGUGGAGCAUGUGGUUUAAUUCGAUGCAACGCGAAGAACCUUACCUGGUCUUGACAUCCUGCGAACUUUCUAGAAAUAGAUUGGUGCCUUCGGGAACGCAGUGACAGGUGCUGCAUGGCUGUCGUCAGCUCGUGUCGUGAGAUGUUGGGUUAAGUCCCGUAACGAGCGCAACCCCUAUCCUUAUUUGCCAGCACAUUAUGGUGGGAACUAUAAGGAGACUGCCGGUGAUAAACCGGAGGAAGGCGGGGACGACGUCAAGUCAUCAUGGCCCUUACGACCAGGGCUACACACGUGCUACAAUGGGAUGGACAAAGAGUCGCGAAGCCGCGAGGUGUAGCUAAUCUCAUAAACCUUCUCGUAGUCCGGAUUGGAGUCUGCAACUCGACUCCAUGAAGUCGGAAUC